GGUGGCUUGGUGGUAGAGUGCUUGCCUUGCAAGCAUGAGGUCCUGGGUUCGAUUCCUCAGCACCA
rnacentral:tRNA from 1 species